rnacentral:rRNA from 1 species
UACGUAGGGUGCGAGCGUUGUCCGGAAUUAUUGGGCGUAAAGGGCUCGUAGGCGGUUUGUCGCGUCGGGAGUGAAAACCUUGGGCUUAACUCAGGGCUUGCUUUCGAUACGGGCAGACUAGAGGUAUGCAGGGGAGAACGGAAUUCCUGGUGUAGCGGUGAAAUGCGCAGAUAUCAGGAGGAACACCGGUGGCGAAGGCGGUCUCUGGCAUGAUCUGACGCUGAGGAGCGAAAGUGUGGGGAGCGAACAGG